UACGUAGGGUGCAAGCGUUAAUCGGAAUUACUGGGCGUAAAGCGUGCGCAGGCGGUGAUGUAAGACAGGUGUGAAAUCCCCGGGCUUAACCUGGGAACUGCAUUUGUGACUGCAUGGCUAGAGUUUGGCAGAGGGGGGUAGAAUUCCACGUGUAGCAGUGAAAUGCGUAGAUAUGCGGAGGAACACCGAUGGCGAAGGCAGCCCCCUGGGCUGACACUGACGCUGAGGCACGAAAGCGUGGGGAGCAAACAGG
rnacentral:rRNA from 1 species